UACGUAGGGGGCAAGCGUUGUCCGGAAUCAUUGGGCGUAAAGAGCGUGUAGGCGGCCCGAUAAGUCCGCCGUGAAAGUCCAGGGCUCAACCCUGGAAUGCCGGUGGAAACUGUCGGGCUGGAGUCCGGAAGAGGCGAGUGGAAUUCCUGGUGUAGCGGUGAAAUGCGCAGAUAUCAGGAGGAACACCAAUGGCGAAGGCAGCUCUCUGGGACGGUACUGACGCUGAGACGCGAAAGCGUGGGGAGCGAACAGG
rnacentral:rRNA from 1 species